UACGUAGGUGGCAAGCGUUGUCCGGAUUUACUGGGCGUAAAGAGCGCGCAGGCGGUCGUACAAGUCGCGUGUGAAAGCCCCCGGCUCAACUGGGGAGGGUCACGCGAUACUGUUCGACUCGAAGGCAGGAGAGGGAAGUGGAAUUCCCGGUGUAGUGGUGAAAUGCGUAGAUAUCGGGAGGAACACCAGUGGCGAAGGCGACUUCCUGGCCUGUUCUUGACGCUGAGGCGCGAAAGCGUGGGGAGCAAACAGG
rnacentral:rRNA from 1 species